GAUGAACGCUGGCGGCGUGCCUAAUACAUGCAAGUCGAGCGAACGGACGAGAAGCUUGCUUCUCUGAUGUUAGCGGCGGACGGGGGAGUAACACGUGGAUAACCUACCUAUAAGACUGGGAUAACUUCGGGAAACCGGAGCUAAUACCGGAUGAUAUUUUGAACCGCAUGGUUCAAAAGUGAAAGACGGUCUUGCUGUCACUUAUAGAUGGAUCCGCGCUGCAUUAGCUAGUUGGUAAGGUAACGGCUUACCAAGGAAACGAUGCAUAGCCGACCUGAGAGGGUGAUCGGCCACACUGGAACUGAGACACGGUCCAGACUCCUACGGGAGGCAGCAGUAGGGAAUCUUCCGCAAUGGGCGAAAGCCUGACGGAGCAACGCCGCGUGAGUGAUGAAGGUCUUCGGAUCGUAAAACUCUGUUAUUAGGGAAGAACAUAUGUGUAAGUAACUGUGCACAUCUUGACGGUACCUAAUCAGAAAGCCACGGCUAACUACGUG
rnacentral:rRNA from 1 species